rnacentral:rRNA from 1 species
GGCGGAACACGUGAAAUUCCGUCGGAAGCUGGGAGGACCAUCUCCCAAGGCUAAAUACUCCCUAGUGACCGAUAGUGAACCAGUACCGUGAGGGAAAGGUGAAAAGCACCCCGGAAGGGGAGUGAAAGAGAACCUGAAACCGUGUGCCUACAAGUAGUCAGAGCCCGUUAAUGGGUGAUGGCGUGCCUUUUGUAGAAUGAACCGGCGAGUUACGAUCCCAUGCAAGGUUAAGUUGAAGAGACGGAGCCGUAGCGAAAGCGAGUCUGAAUAGGGCGUUUAGUAUGUGGUUGUAGACCCGAAACCAGGUGAUCUACCCAUGUCCAGGGUGAAGUUCAGGUAACACUGAAUGGAGGCCCGAACCCACGCACGUUGAAAAGUGCGGGGAUGAGGUGUGGGUAGCGGAGAAAUUCCAAUCGAACCUGGAGAUAGCUGGUUCUCUCCGAAAUAGCUUUAGGGCUAGCCUCACGUUGUGAGAGUCUUGGAGGUAGAGCACUGAUUGGACUAGGGGCCCCCAACGGGUUACCGAAUUCAGUCAAACUCCGAAUGCCAAAGACUUAUCCGUGGGAGUCAGACUGCGAGUGAUAAGAUCCGUAGUCAAAAGGGAAACAGCCCAGACCACCAGCUAAGGUCCCCAAGUAUACGUUAAGUGGAAAAGGAUGUGGAGUUGCUUAGACAACCAGGAUGUUGGCUUAGAAGCAGCCACCAUUUAAAGAGUGCGUAAUAGCUCACUGGUCGAGUGACUCUGCGCCGAAAAUGUACCGGGGCUAAACGUAUCACCGAAGCUGUGGAUUGACAUCUUAGAUGUCAGUGGUAGGAGAGCGUUCUAAGUGCUGCGAAGCUAGACCGUAAGGACUGGUGGAGCGCUUAGAAGUGAGAAUGCCGGUAUGAGUAGCGAAAGACAAGUGAGAAUCUUGUCCACCGAAUGCCUAAGGUUUCCUGAGGAAGGCUCGUCCGCUCAGGGUUAGUCGGGACCUAAGCCGAGGCUGAAAAGCGUAGGCGAUGGCCAACAGGUUGAUAUUCCUGUACCACCUCCCCGCCGUUUGAGUAAUGGGGGGACGCAGGAGGAUAGAGUAAGCGCGCUGCUGGAUAUGCGCGUUCAAGCAGUUAGGCUGAUGAGUAGGCAAAUCCGCUCAUCAUAAGGCUGAGCUGUGAUGACGAGGGAAAUAUAGUACCGAAGUUCUUGAUUCCACACUGCCAAGAAAAGCCUCUAGCGAGGCGGGAGGUGCCCGUACCGCAAACCGACACAGGUAGGCGAGGAGAGAAUCCUAAGGUGAUCGAGAGAACUCUCGUUAAGGAACUCGGCAAAAUGACCCCGUAACUUCGGGAGAAGGGGUGCUCUGGUAGGGUGUAUAGCCCGAGAGAGCCGCAGUGAAUAGGCCCAGGCGACUGUUUAGCAAAAACACAGGUCUCUGCGAAGCCGCAAGGCGAAGUAUAGGGGCUGACGCCUGCCCGGUGCUGGAAGGUUAAGAGGAGGGGUUAUCCUUUGGGAGAAGCUCUGAAUCGAAGCCCCAGUAAACGGCGGCCGUAACUAUAACGGUCCUAAGGUAGCGAAAUUCCUUGUCGGGUAAGUUCCGACCCGCACGAAAGGCGUAACGAUCUGGGCACUGUCUCAACGAGAGACUCGGUGAAAUUAUAGUACCUGUGAAGAUGCAGGUUACCCGCGACAGGACGGAAAGACCCCGUGGAGCUUUACUGUAGCCUGAUAUUGAAUUUUGGUACAGCUUGUACAGGAUAGGUAGGAGCCUGAGAAGCCGGAGCGCUAGCUUCGGUGGAGGCGUCGGUGGGAUACUACCCUGGUUGUAUUGAAAUUCUAACCCACAGCCCUGAUCGGGCUGGGAGACAGUGUCAGGUGGGCAGUUUGACUGGGGCGGUCGCCUCCUAAAGAGUAACGGAGGCGCCCAAAGGUUCCCUCAGAAUGGUUGGAAAUCAUUCGUAGAGUGUAAAGGCACAAGGGAGCUUGACUGCGAGACCUACAAGUCGAGCAGGGACGAAAGUCGGGCUUAGUGAUCCGGUGGUUCCGCAUGGAAGGGCCAUCGCUCAACGGAUAAAAGCUACCCCGGGGAUAACAGGCUUAUC